UCGGGUGACAGGGAGACAGGUGGUGCAUGGUUGUCGUCAGCUCGUGUCGUGAGAUGUUGGGUUAAGUCCCGCAACGAGCGCAACCCCUACGUUUAGUUGCUAACGCGUGAAGGCGAGCACUCUAGACGAACUGCCGUUGACAAAACGGAGGAAGGUGGGGAUGACGUCAAAUCAUCAUGCCCCUUAUGUUCUGGGCUACACACGUGCUACAAUGGCCGGUACAGACGGACGCAAAGCCGCGAGGUGGAGCAAAUCCUAAAAAGCCGGUCUCAGUUCGGAUUGCAGGCUGCAAUUCGCCUGCAUGAAGUCGGAAUCGCUAGUAAUCGCAGGUCAGCAUACUGCGGUGAAUACGUUCCCGGGCCUU
rnacentral:rRNA from 1 species